rnacentral:misc_RNA from 1 species
CAUACUUGUCCAAAAACUCCUUCUGUUAAAUCAUAAGAAUGCAAGAUAUGAAUUGUAUCAAGAUGCCUUUCUAACUUUAUUAAUGGUCUACUAGCAAAUCAGACACCAUAUAACUACAAUUUCAUAUAAACACAUAUCAUUGCAUUAAUAACUUGCAAUAAAGAAGAUUUAACAAGCUGUGAAAAAUCAUUCACUUUAUCAACUUAAAAAAGGCUCAUUUUCAAUCUGCUCCAUUGGGCUCUUCAAGUCAUGGACUUCACACCAAAACUAGUUGAGUUUUGAGUGAUAUUAGCUAGCAGGUUUUUCCACAGUGAUACUCGUCCAUUUGGAACUUCCAAACCUAACCCAACUCCUAGAUUUGGUUUUGUACUCUUCUGGUUGUUUACCAGAAAUAGAAACAGUAUUCUCUUAGGAUGAUUUCUUUAAAAAACUCAAUCGAAAAAGUCUUCAAUAAUAUAAGGACAGGACGCCAGGGAAGGGAUUAAUGUGCAUUACUAAUUUCAGUAUGACGCAAAAAUUCUAAAACUUCAGCUCACAUGACCAUUCACUUUGUUUCUGUAUUACAUAUCAAGUUCCAUUUUUUAAACAAAGUGAUGAAGGCAGUAAUGAUUUCCAACAAUUUUUCAUGCUAAACAAAAAGGGGGAAAAGGAGGAAUCAAUUGCCAGAUUCCCUAGGGCAAACAACAGACAGCUGAACAAGUAUAGUAUAUCACAAGUCCAUUAUCAUUUACAUCUGCAUAUCACAAAACUUCAAUUUACAGGUUCAAAAACAGAGUAUGGGAUAUCACUUGAAUGGAUGGUAUCCUGGUGGGGCUUCAAGGAGGAUACCAUUAAUGUUUUUCUCAAUAGUCCAUUUGGCAGUUCCUAAAACCACUUAAUCCGCAACCUGGUUAAAUUCUUUGUUCCGUGAUAAAUAAUAUAAGAAUUUAGUAACAUCCACAUCACAAUUACUUGUACUACUUAAUGUUUUUGAAAAAGCAUUAUGUAAUGGAGUCUCGAGAUUUAAUAGGAGAUCAGACCUUGCAUUUAUCCCAUAAAGAAGG